GCCUGGGUGGCUCAGUCGGUUGAGCGUCUGACUUCCGCUCAGGUCACGAUCUCGCGGUCCGUGAGUUUGAGCCCCGCGUCGGGCU
rnacentral:tRNA from 1 species